CGUUUUUUUUUUCAAACUGAUCUUAUCUCGAUAUCUGUAUCCCUGAACAUUCAUAUCUUUAAUUAAUAUCAUCAUCACAAACCCUAAUGUUCUCCACCGCGUAUCCUAUGUCCAGAACCAAUUCUACAAAAUCUUCAUACUUGAUCAUCAGUUCACUGCAAGUUUUAUGAUCCUUGAAAUUGAUCAUCAUGGAUAUCGAGCAAAAGCAAGAAGAACUUAUCAAACACUUCGUCAGUUAAGCAUCGAUUCCAAGGGUUCCCCUCUUGCAAGCGGCACUUCACAUCCUUCACUCUUUGCUUUCCCCGAGAUUCUUUUCGUACCUGGCGUUAUUGAGGUCCGAAUUCUUCGCUUUUUAUAUUAGUUGUGUUAACUUGUAUAUUAGUUUAGGGCUAUGAAUUAGCGUUGUGCUUGAUGAUUGUGGAUUAGUGUUUGAAAACAGAUUAUUGUGUUUAAAGAAGCAAUUGGAUUAUAGAUGGACGGUGUGGCCCACAAGUGAAGAUGUUCUAUGUUUACUGAUUGUUCUUUCUUUGACUGGUCCGAGAGGUUUUGGUUCGAUCGUGGCAAAUAUUUGUGUCAUCUCUUGGUGUCUACAAAUGGUCUUUUAUCAAAGAGCUUGAAGAUAUGCAUACGAGGGAAGAUAUGAUUCUAAGGGUGCUAGGGGCAUAACCCUCACUCUUUCACAUACCCUCACAAAUUUACCCUAUCACACAAAGGCAUAUCAUUUUCACUUAAAACAUACCCUCACUUACCCUCAUUAUUGAUAGGAGCACAAUCCUCAAGUGCCCACACUCAUUUAAUCAUUGAUCCACCAUCAUCAUCAUCAUCCUCAAAAGCACCUCACUUACCCAAUGCCUCAAGCCACAUUCGCACCCCGUACCCGCACCAUUUGUGGCGGUGUAUUUGUGGCUACCCACGUUCCCGCAUGAUGCCCCUAACACGCUAAUGGUUUCAUAAUUCAAGCUAGACGUAGUUUCUUUUUUUUUUUAAACUUAACCCCUUUGAUUGGGAUGUAAUUUAACCAUUUUGAUUUUCUAAUUUUGCAGUUAA